UUAUGAUAUAGGCUCGUUGAAAGAUUGUGAAAAUUUCUUAGCUUGGACCUGAGGUAGCAAAUAAGAUUUCUUUAUGGCACGCGUGGUGACGUGAGGAGUUCUAUCAUCAUGGGGUGUAUGGCGUGGGGUAAUCCUAUGGACGGAAAAACGAUCAUCGUAGAACGCCAUUUAAAUUAUGUUUUGUUUUAAGAGACUUUCCUAAAUUAUCAGUGGGACUCAGUUAUUUAAUUUUGUUUCUUUUAAACUUUGCAUAAAAAUUUAUGUUUUCUUUUAAAACUAAUGGCGCCAACUUGCAUGGUUUUAAGCAAGUCCCCACUAAGACUUUGAUAAUGAGUGGUAUUCUUUUAUAAACUAUGUUAUGCGAAUGUUUUAUAAGUAUUA